CGUGAGUUAAACCACUAUUUACAUCAUGAAGAGUUGCCUACUUCUUAUUUUCAUCUUCGUUUUUCUGACGAUUGAUGCCCAAGAAUGGGGAUCAUGGAACAAUUGUAAUUUCCCGUGUGAACCAAUUAUGGAUGACACCUGCGGCGCUGAUUUUAAUGGAGAUUUUUACAUAUUUGACAAUAAAUGCGAAAUGGGCAGAUUCGUAUGCCAAACGGGAAUGUUUCUACAAGAAGUUGAUUUGGAGAUAUGUUAUCGUGCAGCCCGCUUCAACGCCUUACUAUAACCUCAAAAUUGUGCUAUUUAUGUAGAAUCUGCUAAUAAAUAAAAGGAAAAGUAUUAAAAUACAUAAUGUAUGUGUUAUUAUAUAUAUUAUGUAUUGUUUUACUUGUUGAUAAGCAAA